rnacentral:misc_RNA from 1 species
AACUGAUACUACCUGCGGGAACCUGCGGAAGGAUCAUUAGUGAUUGGUCGAAAGACCUUAUCCCAUCCUCACACCUGUGCACCGUGGGCUUCGGCCCUACAAACGUAGUGUAUCGAACGUAUGCAUCUUAACAAACAAAACUUUUAGCAAUGGAUCUCU